CUUGCUACUGAAAGCCAAGAAGGAACAGCUGAAAUGGGAAGGUCUCCCUCGCGUCACUAAAAAACUAGUGGACCAGCAGAUCACCAAGAAGGAACUGUAGAGGGUCGGGCAGCAGACCAUCAUGAUUGAACCCUCUCAAUGAGCUAACGGUAAAGGGCAGAGAUUUUUUUGGUGUUUCUCUCUUGGACCAGGAGAGGCAUGUUAUAUGCAUCCAGGACAAACCAGGUGUGCUCCUCAACACACAGACUGGCACCACCUCCAAGAACCAACAUUGUCCUGCCAAACUACAGGUGUGUCAGAGGGUCAACAUCACUUCAGUCAUUCCUCAUGCAUCUAGACAGGUUCGUCCCAGUUUGUAGGAAUGGAGAGGUGGUGUAUGGGCUUCCAGCAGAGAGAUUCCCUCCUUCCUCCUUGUUUCUGCUGCUCUACCACUUAAUACACCUGUGCCAAAAAAGAGAAAGUGUGAGGACUAGCAGGAUGAAAAUUGCGCCUUUUUGCUGUUCAGGAAGGAGCAGAGGCUAAAUGUUGUUGCUAAGCUGAACAUCAGCGACAGCAGUAGUAAAUUCUGUCCUUGGAUAGAGGGUCAGUUUCUUUGCUCUGUAUGUUUGAGACACUAAGUGUCACACAAACCUCACCACGGUUUGGUUAAAGUUUUCUGCAGUCACGCACCAAUAGUAGUCCUACAGCAACAAUGAUGUACACGAUGCUCACGUACAACUCAGAUAUUUACAUCAUUACACUAGAUGAUGCAACAAGUUGCCAUUUGUGCUCUAAUACUGCCAUCUAGUGGAACUUAGACAAACACACCACAUUAAAUUAAUAUGUAAAUUAAGAUAUUGAAGUUACAUUUUUCUCAACAAGUAAUAAUAAUAAUAAUAAUACAUUUUAUUUAAAGGCGCCUUUCUUGGCACUCAAGGACACCGUACACAGUAGGAAUGCGCGAUAUAAACGAUAUACGAUAUAAACGAUAAAACAAUGGCCUACGAUAGAGAUUUGAAUUAUAUCCCCUAUCACGAUAACGCAUGUUGAUCACGCAAUCACAAGGCAUACUGGGUGUACCUUAAUGGCGAUCCACUCACACUUUUUUUUCUCAUAAAAAAUAACCUCACGAUCGGAGAGAUACACUAAAUGAUGUUAUUCAUUCUGUAAUGUAGAUAUAAUAAAACCCCAAACUUAUGUCUUACUUAAUAACAUAAAACGAAAUUCAAUAUAGACUGAUCUGUUUAUUUAAAUACAUUUAUAUUUAUUUAGAUUGUGUUAUAUAUACUUAUAACAUGUUGCAGCCCCAGAGGAAACGCUGUUGUUCAGUCCAGUAAAAACAUGAAGCUUCAUUUUACAUUCAGAAAAACUAAUGUUGCGGCUGCAGUUGUUAAUUUCAUCUAUGAAACCAACAUUUAUCUUCCAAAAGGGAUUAUAUUACCCAGCGGUAAAUUUCAGGCCAGUUCAUUAGAUCGUUUUGUCCCCGGGAUGAUGGCGGAGGUUCACCGAGCCGGUGAUCAUGUCCAUAGUCCGGCUGCUUAUAAGCAGCUGCUCCCGGUCUGUGGAUCCCACAUCUCUCAUCUCCGAAAACGUCGGACAAAAUUUCAUUAAAUAUCCAAAGUGGUUCAAAGAGCUGCAGGUCUGUUCAUCGGAUCGCUUUCCCUCCGGCAUGACGAGGGAGGUAGACCCCGGCUAUCAUCUUCGUACUCCGGCUGCUAGCUGCUCCCGGUCAGCCAUGUACCCGUCUGCAGGUGUUUCGUGUUAACUGGUGCCUUUUUCACAUUACAUUACGUUACACGAGAUGAAUGAGUCCUUUGAAUGCAAUUUAACUUGCAUACACGAUUAGAUAUUACACAUAUUAUUAAAUAAGACCAGUUUUAAAUGUGCAACAUUUAUGUUUACAGAAUACUGUAUGAUUACA